GGCUACCUACGGGGGGCAGCAGUGAGGAAUAUUGGUCAAUGGCCGAGAGGCUGAACCAGCCAAGUCGCGUGAGGGAAGACGGCCCUACCGGUUGUAAACCUCUUUUGUCGGGGAGCAAAGAGAGUCACGUGUGACUCAUUGAGAGUACCCGAAGAAAAAGCAUCGGCUAACUCCGUGCCAGCAGCCGCGGUAAUACGGAGGAUGCGAGCGUCAUCCGGAUUUAUUGGGUUUAAAGGGUGCGCAGGCGGAGGUGCAAGUCAGCGGUCAAAUUGCGGGGCUCAACCCCGUACUGCCGUUGAAACUGG
rnacentral:rRNA from 1 species